AAAAAGGCAAACCCUAGAUUUCCGUGUCCAACUUUGACUGUCCGUCUUAUAUAAAAAAAUUAUAAUUCGUAUUUUUAUUGUUGUUAGAUGAUAAAACAUGAUUAAUAUUUUAUGCGUGACUUGUAUUUUUAAUUUUUUUUAUAAUUUUUUCAAAUAAGACGGACGGUCAAACGUUGGGCACGGAAACCAGGGUUUCUCUUUUU
rnacentral:pre_miRNA from 1 species